AAGAUCUUCAGGUAUGGUAUCUCUGAGCAGGUGAUUUGGUCCUCCUGGCAUUUCAGAAGCCAUCUACAAAAAGGAGCUACAACUCUAAGUGGAUAAUUAAGAGUCCUCUCCAAAGUGGUGUUGGAGUUUCCACAGUAGUGAGUCUGUCCUCUUGCCAAUGCUCUUUUCAUGCUAGAGGAGGCCCUGCAUCAUGAGUUUGGUGUAAAAGGGUCUUGGAAUAGACCGAAACAUUUAGAAAGUCCACUUAUCUUCUUGUUUCUUUUGUCACCAGUUCAGUGGGCAUGGCUGUUACUACAGGACUAUAUCUGAAUGAAUAUCUGUUUGCAUUUCACAUUGGUAGGACCUGGCUGACCUGAAAUUAGAAAGAUAUGUCAAUGUUCACGCAAUUCAGGUGAACACGAACCAUAACUGACCUUCGUGGAUGUUUCCAUCAGACAUGCAUAAAGCAGCUACAUGGUUUUCUCGCCGCAUGUUCACAAAGCAUUAUUGCAUAGGCUCAUCCUCCAGGAGGAAAUCCUGUUUUGGAUUCUGUGUUCUAGAAUGCAUUUCCAAAGUGGAGAAGGCCAAACUCUUCCAUCUGCAGAGGUUUUUGUUUUAUGUCAAGAUAUCCCAAAUUUUCAUUUGUCUCACUUGUGUGGGUUUUUCUUUCUGAUAACAUUCAAGUCUGCUGAAAGAAAUAAUUAUGUCUAAUUAUUUGAUUUGUAAGAGGUCACUUGCUGCUCUUUAUACUGUUUAAUGCUGUACAUAAUAAAAGAAGAUCUUAGUUAAUGCUUUUGUCACUAACUUUGUCAUUGCCACUUGUUUUAAUUUCUCUCUCUCUUUGGACAUUUUUCAAUCUUUCUUUCCUGAAGUGAGAGUCUUGCACAGAUGCUCUCAUUAGACAGGGAAAAAUAUUAAUUUAUAAUUCUCCUUCUCUGAAAAGAUCCUCUUUCAGGAUUCUCGUUCACCUGCCUGGUUCCUCUAAGAGUCUUUUAACUUUGAACUUUUUUUAAAGACAGCUUUCUCUUACACCUUGUUUCUCAUUUUUUGUCUGAGGUGCAUUUUUUUUAUUUGUAAUCUCACAUUGAUCAUCUUGAAUGGUUUUUUCUUUCUCUUACCUUCAUGUGCUGCUCAAUAUAAGAACUGAAUAAUUAGAAGGCAGCACUUUUAGAGUCAGCAGUAGAGGCGUGGAAUAGGUAACAGGGGGCCUCACUUGCAUUCUGUAUCUCACUACCGCUAACCUUAAGGGUCAAAAACCUUGAGAGUAAGAACAGUUCUAUCAGCUUUUCACUAAGGAGUCACAGCUUGGGUGUGAGAAUCCUGCAAGAUAUCCUUUUCAGAAUAAAAAGUAAAUACUUUUCCAAUUUUCAUUUCCCCACACCAACUGAUAGAGUUUGGGUUUUAUUUGGUAGUGAAUUCUAUAAUUAAAGCUGUAAAACAGUUUCCUCUCAUAGCUACCUGUAGCUUACAACUUUGGGAUUUAAAUUUUCCAUAGCUGGUUCUUCUCCAAAAGUUACUUGGAAUUUUUUUUUUUUUUUUUUUUUUUUUUUUUACAAAAUCCCUUUUAGUCCCAUUGGAGUUGUGAGAAAGUGGUAAAAAUAGUUUUUCAGCAAAAAACCUGAAUUUCAAAACCUGAAAUUUCAGAUGAUCUUUAAUGAGCAUUAAUGAUUUUGCAAGGCAUGGGGGUGGGAGCUGGAAAUUGGUUUAGAUUUAAUAGUGUCUGUUUGAAAAUGGCAUAGUGCACACUUCAAGAGGGAUGUGUUAUAUGGACAGCUUGAAAAGAUGCCAAGGUAGAUUCAGGCUUUGCCAGACUGUUCAUGUGGAUCCUUUUACCUAUAUCUCAAUCUUCUUAUUUCCCCCCAAAAUUGUGUCAAUCUGAAGGUGUGAUUACUAAAAAUCUCAUAUUCAUUUCACAGGGCUAAGGGACUUUUUGCACCUCAGAAUGCGUUAAGACUCCCAGAGCCUUGGAAACAUGAAAUAGAUAUUUGGGGAACAAGUCCCAAAGCAUUUCUUCAUCAUUCUCUUCCCUUGCUGGGAAACAGGUUCUCAGGCUAGUGUUUAGCUCCUUUUAUUCCUGUGGGAUAUAGGUCGUUAGUCUAUCCCUUGGCUGGAGGGAAUAGCCCAUUCAAUACUAACUUCAUGGAGGCUCUAGAUUAGUUCUUGAACAUCCUGCAAUAGUGCAUUUAUGGAGUACAUGUAUAUGGCACACUUAAAGAAGUGUGCAUUAGCGGUACUAGCGUACUGCUUAUUACAAGAAACACAACUGUGCUUUCAGAAAUUCUGCAUGCACCCAGAUGUUUUUCUUUCUUUAAAAAACAUCUAGAGGCAUUUUUAAAACAACUAACAAAAUCAUCCAAAGCAUAGGACUUGAUGGUCAUGGUGGACUUCAGCUACCCAGACAUCUGGAGAAAAUAAUACAGCAGGGCACAGAUUAUCUAGCAAGUUCUUGGAAUGUAUUUGAGACAAUUUUUUUUAUUUCAGAAACUGGAGAAAGCUACUAAGGGAGAGGCUGUACUAGAUCUGUUUUUUAACAAAUAGGAACUGGUUGAGAAUUUGAAAGUGGAAGGCAGCUUCAAUGACAGUGAUCUUGAAAUGAUGGCGUUCGUGAUUCUAAGAAAAGGUUGGAAGGAAAACAGCACAAUAAAGAUAAUGGAUUUCAAGAAGUCAGACUUUAUCAAACUCAGGGGGUUGGUAGGUAAGAUCCCAUGGGAUGCAAAUCUAAGGGGAAAAACAGUUCAAGAAAGCUGGCAGUUUUUUAGAGAGACAUUAUUAAGAGCAAACCAGCCCAUUGCAUAGGAAAGAAAGGAAGUAUGGCAAGAGACCACCCACUUUCAAUGAUCAGAAAUGCAAUAAAGAGUCCUACUAAAAGUGGAAACUAGGUCAAAUUACAAAGGAUUAAUAUAAACAAAUGAAACAAAUAUAUAGGGACAAAAUUAGAAAAGCCAAGGCACAAAAUGAGUUUAAACUAGCUAGAGACAUAAGGGUAACAAGAAAACAUUCUACAAGUUAGAAGCCAGAGGAAGACCAAGGACAGGAUAGACCAAUUAUUCAAUGAGGAGUGUGGGAACAAUAACAGAAAAGGGUAAAUGGCAGAUGUAUUAAAUUACUUUUUUGUUUCAGUUUUCACCAGAAAGUUUAGUAGCAACUGAACAUCUAAUAUAGUGAAUGCCAGUGAAAAUGAGUUAGGAUCAGAGGCUAAAAUAGGGAAAGAACAAGUUAAAAAUUACUUAAACAAGUUAGAUGUCUCCAGCAGGGCUUUGGAGAGGAGCCCGGAGCUGGAACGCGGAGCAGUGGAGCUGCAGGUUUUUGCCUGGAGCUGGAGUGAAGCCAGAGUACAGAAAAUCUUGACUGCUCCAGUUUUUUUUUAAAUUUUCAAUCCAAAAUGAAUUAUAUUUAGCAAGAAAGCCCUAAAAGUGCCAAAAAGUUUCAGAUUGUAUAACCAUUGAUAUUAACAUCUACUUUACCACUUUACGUAAUAUGUCAUAGUUAUUUUCACUUCAGCCAAAAUCAAGUUUAAUGUACAGAUACAAAAUUACAAAGUUUUCUGGAGAUAUGUUUUAUUAAAGAAUCAGAUAAUUAUCAGACAUCCGGCAACACUGCAGACUUCUCCUACCCUUGUGCCAAGGUUAGGCUAGUACGUACUCACGUAGAUUAGUUAGAUAGAUUAGUAUGUGUUGAUACUUCUUUUGUAAGAGUUGAUCAACGAGACACGCUGAGUGCUGCAAUUAUGGAAAAGUGUGACGUAAGAUGCAACAUUUAAGAUAUCACAAACAGAUCAUAACAAGAAACAUUUGGAUGCGGUAGCACCACAAGAAGAUUUGGCCACGGCUUCAACAAAAAAGUCAAAUCUGCCCCCCAUGAUUGAUAGCUGAUUUAUGGAAAAGGAUCUCAACAACGUCUUUACUUUUGAAUUUGAAAAGCCCAAAUUUGGGCAUUGGGAAAGGAAAGAAGAAAUCAGCAAUGUGCAAGGUGGAAAAGGAAGUGAAUGGUGAGCUCAAACCAUGUAGCUUCAAGACAAGUGAAGCAAGUGCCAUGAAAAGUUUCAAUCUUUGGCAGCAUGUGAAAUGUAACCAUCCUGAAAACUAUGCGGCUCUGGUUACAAAAAAAGGAUCAGGAAGAUAAGGCAAAACAGAAAGCUGACGCGGCUAAACAAUGUUCAUCUGGCUCUUUGAGAAAAGAUCUUUUGCAGAGCUUCGUCUGAAAAGAAACCCAAAAUUGAGCAAACAAAACAUGACUCAUAUAUGAAGUCCUCAAAGGUUACAGUCACCAUGGAUGCCAAUACUUUCUGUGAAGGGCUGAUUGAAAUGGUUUGCUUGAGUUCAACACCGCUCACUACCUUCAGGCUUAAGAACAAAGGAUUCCAAAAAAUUGCAGGUGAAAUGGGUCGGCAGCUUGGUGUUUUGAUGGGCAUGAUGCAGUUUGUCAUUUAGUUGUUGGCACAGCUGAGUCUGGUUGCGAAGAGCUCAAGAAAGCUUUGGAGCAAAAAUUGUGCUACCUGAAAAUGGAUGUGGAAACAGAAAUUUCCUUGCAAUCAAUGCUCAGUACUAUGAAGACUGAAAAGAUAAAGCUGUGGUAAAAACCUUGGACAUAAUCAACACUGAAGGGCAUCACAAUUCUUUGUACGUGAAAAGUCAAGUAAAAGCUAUUUUAGAAAAAAUUGGGAUCAGUGAAAUGCAAGUGCUGAGCAUCUGCAUUAAAAAUGAAGAAGAUAUGACCUGUGUCUUCAAAAAUUUUUCAGCGAGGACAAUGAAACCAUUUCUACCUCUGAGAAUAGGGAUGUGGACAGAACUGAAGGUAUUUUGCCCGAUGAAGGAACUAAAGGAAUGGAUGAAGUCAAACUCAACAUGGAUGCUGCUGCGCAACGAGUUAAUGACCCUAGCCUCAUACUUCCAACAUGGCUUCAUAAGGAUGACUCAAAGUCCAACUGAUGAUGUGUGGUAUUCACACUCUUCAGUUGGCAAUCUGUAAUGGACUGAACAAGGAACAUGUGAAGAAAUUUCUAGGAAAAAUUCGACAAGUCAUUGUCAAACUACGAACUCCAAGGAUUCAAAGUGUUCUGCUUGAUCUACAUGGAGUAACUCAAUCAUUGGAUUCUGUGACUCACUGGGGUUCAAUAUUUGCGAUGAUUGAUCGGCUUCUCAUUUUUCAAUCUUACUGUGAACAAGUGGCUGCUGCUGGAACAAGAGAACUCAAGUUAACAAAAGCUGAAUGGGAUGAAGUGAAGAACCUGCGAGACCUCUUGACAAAGCUGAAUCAAACAACCGUGAAUUUUCAAGCUGUUGAUGUAACCCUGGGAGUUUUAAUGAAGGAAUGGUGAAAACUGUCAAAAUUCUUGCAAGAAAAUGGUGGACAAAUUGUGGAAGGAAUUAUAUCCUCCAGAAAUGCGAAGAGAAGCUUUUUGACAAUAUUCAUUUCCUUGCUGGAGUUUAUGUUGAUCCAUGGUAUCGGAUUCUUCUUACCUCAAGGGAAAUACCAAAGGCAAAGGAAGGGCUCCUUGAUAUUGCUCGACGACUCAAAAAACAAAAUCUGUUGCUACAUUUGAAUUUGGCGAAAGGUUGAAGAAAACAAAACACAAGAAAAGGAGUCAUCAACAAUAGAAUUUGCUGUUUCGGAAAGUUCACAUCCUUCAGAAAUAGCAGGCUGUUCUCAAACUUCUGUCUCCACUCUGAACUUGUUCAAGCAUCCAUCCCUGAGAAGUCUUCAACCAUCACGGGGAACUGGAGAUAAUUCGAGCAUCAAUUCUUCAGAAGAUGAGUUCGAAAAGGAAUUGGAUAAACAGGAAAGACGCCGGCGAGUUUCUGCGAUUUAUAUUUGUAAUGAAACAUUAUUUGAGAGAAACUUUUGAGAAGAUUGUGAGGCAAUGGAGUCUAUUUGUAGGCUAAAAGUUAAGUCUGGUUUUGAGGCCAUUUACAGCUACCCACACCGCAUUCAGGCUGCCUGUAGAAUUGCUUUGAGCAUGCCAACAACUCAAGCUAGUGUAGAGUUACUGUUUUCGGCUUUAAAGUUAAUUUCAAAUAGUUUGCAGCAGGCUAUGAAAGGCAACUUGAUUGCUGCAAUGAUUUGUUACAGAAUGAAUUAUGAACGAUUCUAGUUUGUAUCAUUGUUGAUGACAUUUAAAUUGUUUUAAAAGUCUGAAUAAAAAUAAUGUUUUUUCAAAA